UGGGGCGUCGCCAAGUGGUAAGGCACCUGGUUUUGAUCCAGGCAUCCAUAGGUUCGAAUCCUGUCGCCCCAG
rnacentral:tRNA from 1 species